rnacentral:rRNA from 1 species
AGCGAACGCUGGCGGCAGGCUUAACACAGGCAAGUCGAGCGGGCACUUUCGGGUGUCAGCGGCGGACGGGUGAGGAACGCGUGGGAACGUGCCCUCUGGUUCGGAAUAACUCAUGGAAACUUGAGCUAAUACCGGAUACGCCCGCUUGGGGAAAGACUUGCUGCCGGAGUGUCGGCCCGCGUCUGAUUAGCUAGUUGGUGAGGUAACGGCUCACCAAGGCGACGAUCAGUAGCUGGUCUGAGAGGAUGAUCGGCCACACUGGGACUGAGACACGGCCCAGACUCCUACGGGAGGCAGCAGUGGGGAAUAUUGGACGAUGGGCGCAAGCCUGAUCCAGCCAUGCCGCGUGAGUGAUGAAGGCCUUAGGGUUGUAAAGCUCUUUUGCCCGCGACGUUCAUGACGGUCCCGGCGGAAUAAGCCCCGGCUAACUUCGUG